AGGAAAGCACCUUUUGAUUGGUGAGCAGGACAAAGUGGAUCCUUCAGAGUUCCCAUCCGUGUUUGUGUCUCAGCCUGUGUUAGGAUUCAGGGCUGUAGCUGUUGUUGUCACUGAGGAGUCAAACUGUGCUUUAAAUAAUGAGACCCUGGCCUGAUGGCCCAGUGUUAAGAAAAAAGGGGGAAUGCUCUCUGAGUGUUGAGAUGUAACAAGGGCUAAUCCUUUUUGCAGUGGGAUGGAGCCUGGAAAGUGCACAGAGCUGAGCCCAGGGAUUGAAAGGGACCAAGCAAGGGAGGUGAAGGAAGAAGGGAAGUGAGGCAGCAGGCAAGCAGCACCAAGUUGCUGUGUAAGCAGGGAAUAACUCCUGUCAGCAGCAAGGCCCUGACUGAAGUGGCAGCUGCAGUUGUUCCUGUGGUGUGGGCCAGUGGAGCUGCAGGAGAGUGGAAGAGGGCAGAACCUGUAGGUAUUACCCCUGAUGUGGGAUCUCUAUGGGUAAGGCCAACCCAGUAUCCUUUAAAAUCAGAAUGCCAGACUGGAUUGGUUGCAGGAACAGCUAAAUUGGCUCCUCCUGGUUUGCUUGUAGGACGUGAAUGCAAGAACCUGCCAAGAAAACCAGUGGACAAGAUGAUUGAUUAGGGCAGGACCUGAGAGAAGCACCUUGAAUGACAACCUGGAGGAGUUUCCAGUAUUGGAUUUAAAAGAUGGCCUUUGCAUCUCCUUGAGCAAGGAAAGCCAAGAAAGCUUUGCUUUUGCAGGAGAAAAUGGGGCAAGCAGGCAGGAAGAAGAGAAGCCCCGUGACUCCUCCCUGAGCCCCAGACAGCCCAUGAACUGCCUUGCUGGGAAUGGUGGGACGGGCUGGACUCUGCAUUGCUCCCUCGGGAUGUGUGGCUCUCCCCUCAGGAACUGCAGGAACUCCUGGUGCCGCCUGGGCCGAUGGAUUGGACGCCCCAGCCCCUCCGUUCCUGCCCAGCCACUGGGGCCGUGUCCAGUGGUGGCACUGCCAGCCCUGCAGUGGGAUGGAGCCUGGAAAGUGCACAGAGCUGAGCCCAGGGAUUGAAAGGGACCAAGCAAGGGAGGUGAAGAAAGAAGGAAGAAGGGAAGUGAGGCAGCAGGCAAGCAGCACCAAGUUGCUGUGUAAGCAGAGUUGAUGUGACUGACUUCUUUUUGAAAUGCAGCAGUGCUCUCAAGGAUAUUUCCCCCCCACUCCUGGGCUUGUGCAGGGCUGUUGAGUCCGUGUGUGCCACUGUUCUUGUCCCAGGGGGACCGAGUGACAUUUGGAACCAAACCUGGGGACUUGAACUCUAGGAAUGUUUCUGUGUCUUUGAAUUUUAAAUUGCACAUGAAGCAGAAAUAUGUUUGUGGUUUCCAGGUUAUAUUGUCAUGAAAAUAGAAAUGCAUCAUUGGAUCUUACUCCUCUGAGGGCAAACCACCAGACUGAUCAUUUCUUAGUCCAUCAGACCCAGUGCCAGGAACUCAGAGGGCUGUUUGUGUGCAAAUGUGCUGAGUGGUGGUGGCCCCCGUGAGACUGUGACCAGCUGGAAAUGUGUGUGUGUGUGUGUGUGUGCAGAGCUGGGCUGGAUCCCUUGGGAUUUGGCUCCCAGAUCCCCCCCAGCCUUCAGGAAAACCAGAGGCCACCGAACCCUGAGGGAAGGGAGUCCCAUUUGCAGAAGGGUUUGUAGAUUGGGGAAAAGCUCUCCAGAACAAAGCCUGUGUUCCAAACCCCUUCAGGCCAAAGUCAAGGAGCACAAACCCUGGAGUCAUCAAGUUACGAAGUUUGGUUCAAACCAUUUCCUAAUAAGUCAGUUUUAAUGAAGUGUUAAAAGGAGAACUUAAAUAAGGGUAAUUUCUGAUGGAGAAUAAUGGGAAGAAGUGGUUUAAGUUCCCUAAACAUGUUUUAUAUCAGUCCAUGGUUAUUUAAUUGAGCAUUGUUUGGAAUUUUUCUUUUUGCAUUCGUUCCUGGUGUGCUUUUCUCUAUCUAAGGGAUGUUUGGAGGUCUUUUUGAUUGCUUGAAGGUUUUUAAUGUCAGUGCUGGAUUGGGGUGGACAGUCAUUGUAACAUGAUUUAGAGUUGGAUGCAUUUUAUUCUGUGUGCCCUGUUUGAUGUCUCGUGUUCAGCGAGUGACUGAUCAGAGUUUGGCCCAAGCCUUUGUUUUUCAGGUGAAAAAGCCGAAGGGGGAAUUGUAGUUGCAGCUUUGCCCUUGAGCUGCAGCUGGAGCCUGGCCAAAGAACAAGGCAAAGCUCCCUGGGGAAGGAAGGGGGAGCCAGAGAAGAAAAGCAGCUGCAGCCAGAAAGGUGGGUUUGGGCGGGAGAAGAGGGGCUGUGACCCAGCAAGGGGCUCUGGAGGGCUCUGGGGUCCCUGUAAUGGCUCUGGGGUCUCUGUAGGGACUCUGGGGUUUCUAUCGUGGCUCUGGGGUCCCUAUAAUGGCUCUGGGGUCUCUGUAGGGGCUCUGGGGUCCCUCUCCUGGCUCGGGGUCCCUCUCGUGGCUCGGGGUCCCUCUCCUGGCUCGGGGUCCCUCUCCUGGCUCGGGGUCCCUCUCCUGGCUCGGGGUCCCUCUCCCUGCCGGCACAGGAGCUGCUGCCGCCCCAGCAAGAGGCAGAGGAGUCGCUGCCCAGAAGCAAGAACUCACUGAGAGCUGAACUGGGGCCGUGUGGGCAGGGCCAGAGGGGAGCAAAGGAAGGGAUUUGUUGCUAAGAAAAGAAAUAAAGUUUGGGUCAUUUGUUGGGGA